AAGCAUCUGACUAUCUUCUAUCACAGGGCCAGGUACUCAAAAUAUAUUUAUUGAAUACAGUUGAAUAUAUUCUGUGAUCAUCCCUGAUCAUGUUAAGUUCUAUUGGGUCCAUACUAUUUAGUAGCCUAACCCAGGUAGGACUAAAACUAAGCCACUUGUUUGUGCAGCAGUUUCUGAUUACAAGUGGUUUAUAUUCCUGUCCGCACUCAGUGAAGAGGAGCUACCACUGUUAGUAUUUCCAUAAUGUGAAUAGAUGAGAAAACCAAAGCAUAGAGAGGUUAGAUGGUCUGCCCAGGGUCAUGCAGUUUGUAAGUUGCAGUGGCCCACAGCCCAGCUCUCUCUCAGGACCCUGAGAGGUAAGGCUGGAUGAACAUUGCUGACUGUUAAAAGCACCUGACCACUGAGCCAGGUGAGAUGCGCCCACCCCUACUUGUCUGCUGCUCCUGAAGAUUCACAGGUAAAUUGAGCCUCUUCUUAUUGGAUUCUAUUUUGAACUCAUGGUGCUGGGGGUUGUCCUAGAUUAAAGGACACAUGAGGUGGGGAGUUGCAAAGCAUAGGAAAAAAAAAGUAAAGCACAGAAUGUGUAGCAAACUUGGGCCGAUGCUGCAUUUUCUACCUUCUGUCUGCACUGGAUUCCUUAUAAUUUGUCUUGCACAAAUUGGGAUAAAUACAAACAAGCACACAUAUGUAAAUUCAUUCAUUUAAAAAAUAAUCUUUCUGAACCUUAAUUUUUCCUCGCUGGGAAUGAUAGUCUUUUGUGCAAGGAUGUCACACAAAUUUAAUGAGAAAACUCAUAUAAAUGGGCCUUGCAUGGUGACAGAGCUGGCAUUUCCAGACUGUUUUCCUUCUAACUUUCUACCAUGCAACCUCUAUUUGACAGUAUCUGUGGACUGGUUUGCUGAUUGCUCACAAGCCCCAGAAGAAAGGAGGGGGAAAAAUCAUACAAACUGCCCUAAGUUUUGGGCCACUCAGCAGCCAGCCCUCCCUAAAAAUUCUGAGAUAAGAGAAACAUUGCCAAUAGAAGUACUGUGAUCCCCCAGACCUGAGUGCCCUUCCUGGCUUUUGCCUUCCUGGCUCACAAAGCCUCCUAACCCUUUGCAUUCUCUACUUACUCUUAUUCUGUAUCUGGUUGCUGGGGUAUCCUUCCUUUUUGACCAUGAGUGGCAGUUACCUCUGGCCUGUAAAGGAAUUAUUCAGAUGCCAAAAAUUUGGAGAUAGCCAGUUAACUCAGGAAAUGGUAUCCGGAGAAGAAGCAGGAGUGACACAUCUUUGGGGUUCCUGGGUAGCCAUGUAGCACAUAGUUGGAGGGGGCAGGCUUUGAGUCACUCAGAACUGGGUUAGAAUCCUGACUCUGUGGCUUACUGGUUUUCCAGCUUUGUUCCAGUUACUCAGUCCCCUGGGCUUCAGUUUCUUUACUUACAAAAUGGGGAUGUUAAUAACAGUAAUACCUAUAACUAUGGGGCUAUGUUGAGGAUGAAAUAAAAUGAUGUAUAAAAAUCAAUGAGAACACUGCCUGGUACAUAGUGGGCUACCAUGAAUUUUCUGUCCUCAGCCAUGACUAGCUGGAAUGGCCUUUUCCUUCUUAGCUCCUGCUUUUCCUUGAAUCUCAUCCCUUUGAGUGUUCUGCCCUAACACGUCAAGCCAAAUUCUGUGACUUCCUCUUCUGAGGCCCAGAGGUCUGCCAUCUGACCUAUAGAGUCCCUGCACCUGCGUCCUUGACUGGGUUCUGAAGCCCCCUUGACACAGUGCUCAGGAGAAACUCAAAGAGGAAAUGAAAGGCAGAGUCCCUUGUAUCAAUGACAGCAGCCCAGGCUCCCUCAACCUUUGCCUUGGCAAACCGACUCAGACAGUAUUUUCAUUUGAUUCUGUCUUUCUUGGCUUUGGUUGUGACUCAUAAAGCUAUUCAAGCCACUCUAUUUUCUCUGCCCCUGAGAGACUAAAUGGUCCUAUGGAGUGUGAACCAGAGAGGAGAGAGGUCUUGGGAGACCCAGUGGCCACCAUGCCUGAAGGUUAGAGGGGAGAACCAUGCAUGCGUCAUACAAAAGAAAGGGAAGUGGACGCUUUGGCUUGGCCGCUGGAGCGCUAUUAUGCCUCUAGCCAUUCCUUUGCCGGCCUCCCAAUUAUGGCUGCAAUUUGGCAGCCAUUUCCUUGCCCUGGGGUGGAAGGGGUCCCUGCAAAGGGCUCACAGGAUGCUUGAGGAGAACCAGGUGCUCUGUAAAUACUUGUUGGCUUGAAUUGCAUUCAGAAGCUCACCCUUGCUCUGGAGAGAACCUUCAAGGGUAGCAAACAAUGACUUUUACUGAACAUGUCAGAGAGUGUAAGCCAAAUUUUGAGAGAACUAGGGUUUAGUGAGUCUGUGGGCAUUUCCGCAGCGAUGCAGGACAGAAGGGGCAGGGCCCAGGCAGCCCAAUCUGGGAAGCCGGGACCUGUGGUUGAUUGCCUAUAUCCUGGUUUCCUUACCCCAAAUCCUUGUGAUCCAGGAGCACACAAAGAAACAUGUGGGUGUAUAUUCUCCCUGCGACUUUCCUUUUCUAAAGGGACUUUCACUAGCAAGCAACCCAGCCAUCCUGGCUGCUAAUGUAACCUGUCACUUCAAUGCCCCAAGGCCAUCAGCAAUUCACAACUCUCUCUUCCUCAAAUCUAUCCCCACACAGCUGCCAGAGUCCUCCUCUUAACAAAAACCCACCAUGUUACUUUUCCAUCAACUAUAGCAGGAGUCAGCAAACGUUUUCUGGAAAGGGCCAGAGUCGGAGUUUAUUCAUUUCAUUGCUGCAUAGUAUUGCCGUUUGUGAGUAUACAUAAUCUAUUUAUUCACUCUGCUCUUGCUGGACAUUCGGUUACUUUCUAGUUUGGGGCUGUUACAAAUGGUGCUUCGGUGAACAUUCUUAUGCAUGUCUUUUGGUACUAAUUUGGUCUUGGGGUGGAGUUUCUGGGUUAUAGGAUAUGUAUCUGUUCUGAUUUAGCCAUUUGAGCUGUGGGACAUAAUUGCAUCAUUGGCUAUAAAGACUGCUUUCCUGAG
rnacentral:lncRNA from 1 species